rnacentral:lncRNA from 1 species
UGAUCGGUGUGGUCGCCGGUGCAGAUGCGGACGAUGAGGCCGUGAUGGGGAUCGCCAUUGGGAUCUCCGAUGAAGCUCCUUCUUCUGCGGAUGGAGCAACGGCCGUCGCCACUACCGCCGGAGGUGCUGCUUCUGGAACGUCGCGCGCUGGAGAGCUGCCGGAAGGAGCCGCCAUUGGAGGAGAAGGGGAAAAGUAACAGGAGGAUGGCGCUAGAA